rnacentral:rRNA from 1 species
AUUGAACGCUGGCGGCAUGCCUUACACAUGCAAGUCGAACGGCAGCGCGGGGCAACCUGGCGGCGAGUGGCGAACGGGUGAGUAAUAUAUCGGAACAUACCCUAGAGUGGGGGAUAACGUAGCGAAAGUUACGCUAAUACCGCAUACGCACUAAGGUGGAAAGUGGGGGAUUCGCAAGAACCUCAUGCUCAUGGAGUGGCCGAUAUCUGAUUAGCUAGUUGGUGAGGUAAAGGCUCACCAAGGCGACGAUCAGUAGCUGGUUUGAGAGAACGACCAGCCACACUGGAACUGAGACACGGUCCAGACUCCUACGGGAGGCAGCAGUGGGGAAUUUUGGACAAUGGGGGCAACCCUGAUUCAGCAAUGCCGCGUGAGUGAAGAAGGCCUUCGGUGUAAGCUCUUUGUCUAGGG